ACGUAGGGGGCAAGCGUUGUCCGGAUUUAUUGGGCGUAAAGCGCUCGCAGGUGGUCCGAUGCGUCGUGCGUGAAAGACCCCGGCUCAACUGGGGGGUGUCGUGCGAUACGGUCGGACUGGAGGCCAGUAGGGGGAUGCGGAAUUCCGGGUGUAGUGGUGGAAUGCGUAGAGAUCCGGAGGAACACCAGCGGCGAAGGCGGCUGCCUGGAGCUUUGCUGACGCUGAUGCGCGAAAGCGUGGGGAGCGAUCCGGA
rnacentral:rRNA from 1 species